GGUCUUAUGGUCUAGUGGUAUGAUUCGUACGUGUUUCCCGUAUUCUCUACCCUCAGGAGAAAAUAGUCUGAAAUUGGAGAAACUAAAUUCUAACUUUCAUACAGUCGCUUAGGGAUUACUCUGAGUAUGAUUGCGAGAGGCCCCGCGUUCGAAUCGCGGUAAGACCC
rnacentral:tRNA from 1 species